GAGGGUGUAGCUCAAGUGGUAAAGCGUGUGCUUAGCAUGCAUGAGGUCCUGGGUUCAAUCCCCAGUACCUCCC
rnacentral:tRNA from 1 species